rnacentral:lncRNA from 13 species
CCAGCUUGACCCCAACCAGGAAGCUCCAGCUCUGGGAGAGCCGCCAUGGGGAAGGCGGGGCCAUCUCACCUGCAAACAAACCCCAGGGAAGGACCACCCACCCAGCAACCUGACUGAACCCGGGCGAGCCCAGCGACGCCCUCUACAGGCCAAAAAAGGUUCUCAUGAAGGAAGUUGUAAGAAGUGCAAGUACCAUAUGAGAUUAUGAUUCAGAGAGCAUACCAAUUUGCAACAGGGGGAACACAAAAGAGGCUGCAUAUGAUUGGACAAGGUCCCCAGAGGGAGCAGGACAUCAGCAAGUUUCUCAAAUGCUCCCAAUUCAAUGGAGGGCAGGUGAUGAGGAAGGAGUGAAAGCUCCUAUUCACCCUAAAGAACUGUUUCUAAAAGGAGCUUUUCUCACUCAUGAGCUUUCAACAACUCUUUAAUUAUUCUGGACAGAAAACGACUGUCCCUUUUUUUAUCCAGAAAGAAAAUGAAGGAGAUAUUCUGGAUCUCCACAGGUCAGCUUCUUAUCUGGCUUGUCUUUUAUAAAGAGAAUUGAUAAGGUCCUAAACAGAAGAGAAGACCUCAGAGGAAACUGUGACUUGGAGUGUGUUCAUGAAUAACUGACUUCUUGGAAGGACACUUUGGGCUUAUUCUGAAUAGGUGAUGUGCUAUUCACAACUUCCUGAGUCAUUCCUGAC